rnacentral:rRNA from 1 species
AAUAUUGGACAAUGGGCGCAAGCCUGAUCCAGCAAUGCCGCGUGAGUGAUGAAGGCCUUAGGGUUGUAAAGCUCUUUUACCCGGGAUGAUAAUGACAGUACCGGGAGAAUAAGCCCCGGCUAACUCCGUGCCAGCAGCCGCGGUAAGACGGAGGGGGCUAGCGUUGUUCGGAAUUACUGGGCGUACAGCGCGCGUAGGCGGCUUUGUAAGUUAGAGGUGAAAGCCCGGAGCUUAACUCCGGAACUGCCUUUAAGACUGCAUCGCUAGAAUUGUGGAGAGGUGAGUGGAAUUCCGAGUGUAGAGGUGAAAUUCGUAGAUAUUCGGAGGAACACCAGUGGCGAAGGCGGCUCACUGGCUCGAUACUGACGCUGAGGUGCGAAAGCGUGGGGAGCAAACAGG